CUACUCACACUCCCCUGAGACCCUCCCCCACCCACACUCCCCUCAGACCCCCUCCCCUGGCUCUGGCUCAGCUCUGCCUUGCUCCUAGCCUGCCAGUGCAGCCACGAGGGGGCACUCAGCAGUCUCUGUGAAAAGACCAGUGGGCAAUGUCUCUGUCGAACUGGUGCCUUUGGGCUUCGCUGUGACCGCUGCCAGCGUGGCCAGUGGGGAUUCCCUAGCUGCCGGCCAUGUGUCUGCAAUGGGCAUGCAGAUGAGUGCAACACCCACACAGGCGCUUGCCUGGGCUGCCGUGAUCACACAGGGGGUGAGCACUGUGAAAGGUGCAUUGCUGGUUUCCACGGGGACCCACGGCUGCCAUAUGGGGGCCAGUGCCGGCCCUGUCCCUGUCCUGAAGGCCCUGGGAGCCAACGGCACUUUGCUACUUCUUGCCACCAGGAUGAAUAUUCCCAGCAGAUUGUGUGCCACUGCCGGGCAGGCUAUACGGGGCUGCGAUGUGAAGCUUGUGCCCCUGGGCACUUUGGGGACCCAUCAAGGCCAGGUGGCCGGUGCCAACUGUGU
rnacentral:lncRNA from 1 species